AAACUCAAAGGAAUUGACGGGGACCCGCACAAGCGGUGGAUGAUGUGGUUUAAUUCGAUGCAACGCGAAAAACCUUACCUACCCUUGACAUGCCUGGAAUUCUGCAGAGAUGCGGAAGUGCCCGAAAGGGAGCCAGGACACAGGUGCUGCAUGGCCGUCGUCAGCUCGUGUCGUGAGAUGUUGGGUUAAGUCCCGCAACGAGCGCAACCCUUGUCAUUAGUUGCUACGAAAGGGCACUCUAAUGAGACUGCCGGUGACAAACCGGAGGAAGGUGGGGAUGACGUCAGGUCAUCAUGGCCCUUAUGGGUAGGGCUACACACGUCAUACAAUGGCCGGUACAGAGGGCUGCCAACCCGCGAGGGGGAGCUAAUCCCAGAAAACCGGUCGUAGUCCGGAUCGCAGUCUGCAACUCGACUGCGUGAAGUCGGAAUCGCUAGUAAUCGCGGAUCAGCUUGCCGCGGUGAAUACGUUCCCGGGUCUUGUACACACCGCCCGUCACACCAUGGGAGCGGGUUCUGCCAGAAGUAGUUAGCCUAACCGCAAGGAGGGCGAUUGCCACGGCAGGGUUCGUGACUGGGGUG
rnacentral:rRNA from 1 species